GAGGGAUGACUGCCUAUGGGUUGUAAACCUCUUUUUUCAGGGAGGAAUCAAUGACGUGUACCUGAAGAAUAAGCAUCGGCUAACUCCGUGCCAGCAGCCGCGGUAAGACGGAGGAUGCAAGUGUUAUCCGGAAUCACUGGGCGUAAAGCGUCUGUAGGUGGUUUAAUAAGUCAACUGUUAAAUCUUGAAGCUCAACUUCAAAAUCGCAGUCGAAACUAUUAGACUAGAGUAUAGUAGGGGUAAAGGGAAUUUCCAGUGGAGCGGUGAAAUGCGUAGAGAUUGGAAAGAACACCGAUGGCGAAGGCACUUUACUGGGCUAUUACUGACACUCAGAGACGAAAGCUAGGGUAGCAAAUGGGAUUAGAUACCCCAGUAGUCCUAGCCGUAAACAAUGGAUACUAGAUGUUGAACAGAUCGACCUGUGCAGUAUCAAAGCUAACGCGUUAAGUAUCCCGCCUGGGAAGUAUGCUCGCAAGAGUG
rnacentral:rRNA from 1 species